rnacentral:rRNA from 1 species
AGCGAACGCUGGCGGCAGGCUUAACACAUGCAAGUCGAACGCCCCGCAAGGGGAGUGGCAGACGGGUGAGUAACACGUGGGAACGUACCCUUUGGUUCGGAAUAACUUGGGGAAACUCAAGCUAAUUCCGGAUAAGCCCUUAUGGGGAAAGGUUUACUGCCGAAGGAUCGGCCCGCGUCUGAUUAGCUAGUUGGUGAGGUAAUGGCUCACCAAGGCGACGAUCAGUAGCUGGUCUGAGAGGAUGAUCAGCCACACUGGGACUGAGACACGGCCCAGGCUCCUACGGGGGGCAGCAGUGGGGAAUAUUGGACGAUGGGGGAAACCCUGAUCCCGCCAUGCCGCGUGAGUGAUGAAGGCCUGAGGGUUGUAAAGCUCGUUUACCCGGGACGAUAAUGACCGUACCGGGAGAAUAAGCCCCGGCUAACUUCGUGCCAGCAGCCGCAGUAA